rnacentral:misc_RNA from 1 species
CAACCCUCAAGCCCCCGGGUUUGGUGUUGGGGAUCGGGCUGUACUCCAGCCCGGCCCCGAAAUCUAGUGGCGGUCUCGCUGCAGCCUCCAUUGCGUAGUAGCUAACACCUCGCAACUGGAACGCGGCGCGGCCAAGCCGUUAAACCCCCAACUUCUGAA